CGGACGGGUGAGUAACGCGUGGGUAACCUGCCCUGUACAGGGGGACAACAGCCGGAAACGGCUGCUAAUACCGCAUAAGCCUGCGGGGCCGCAUGGCCCGGCAGGAAAAGCUGCGGCGGUACAGGAUGGGCCCGCGUCUGAUUAGCCAGUUGGCGGGGUAACGGCCCACCAAAGCGAUGAUCAGUAGCCGGCUUGAGAGAGCGAACGGCCACAUUGGGACUGAGACACGGCCCAGACUCCUACGGAAGGCAGCAG
rnacentral:rRNA from 1 species